UACGUAGGGGGCUAGCGUUGUCCGGAUUUAUUGGGCGUAAAGAGCGUGUAGGCGGCCAGGUAGGUCUGCUGUGAAAACUCGAGGCUCAACUUCGAGCUGUCGGUGGAAACUUUCUGGCUAGAGUCCGGAAGAGGAGAAUGGAAUUCCUGGUGUAGCGGUGAGAUGCGCAGAUAUCAGGAAGAACACCCGUGGCGAAGGCGGUUCUCUGGGACGGUACUGACGCUGAGACGCGAAAGCGUGGGGAGCGAACAGG
rnacentral:rRNA from 1 species